rnacentral:rRNA from 1 species
ACUUCGGGGUAACUUCGCGCAAGGGCGAAGCCUGCCGCAGCGACGCCGCGUGAGGGAUGACGGCCUUCGGGUUGUAAACCUCUUUCAGCUCCGACGAAGCGGAAGUGACGGUAGGAGCAGAAGAAGCACCGGCCAACUACGUGCCAGCAGCCGCGGUAAUACGUAGGGUGCAAGCGUUGUCCGGAAUUAUUGGGCGUAAAGAGCUCGUAGGCGGUCUGUCGCGUCGGCUGUGAAAACUCGGGGCUCAACUCCGAGCUUGCAGUCGAUACGGGCAGGCUAGAGUUCGGCAGGGGAGACUGGAAUUCCUGGUGUAGCGGUGAAAUGCGCAGAUAUCAGGAGGAACACCGGUGGCGAAGGCGGGUCUCUGGGCCGAUACUGACGCUGAGGAGCGAAAGCGUGGGGAGCGAACAGGAUUAGAUACCCUGGUAGUCCACGCCGUAAACGUUGGGCGCUAGGUGUGGGAUCCCUUCCACGGGUUCCGUGCCGCAGCUAACGCAUUAAGCGCCCCGCCUGGGGAGUACGGCC